AUACGUAGGGGGCAAGCGUUGUCCGGAUUUAUUGGGCGUAAAGCGCGCGCAGGCGGUGGGUUAAGUUGUGGGUAAAAGGCAUUGGCUCAACCAAUGUAAGCCUGCAAAACUGACUCACUUGAGUGCAGGAGAGGGGAGUGGAAUUCCCGGUGUAGCGGUGGAAUGCGUAGAUAUUGGGAGGAACACCAGUGGCGAAGGCGACUCUCUGGCCUGUAACUGACGCUGAGGCGCGAAAGCGUGGGUAGCGAACA
rnacentral:rRNA from 1 species